rnacentral:lncRNA from 1 species
GGGCUCCCCUCUGUUAGAGCUUUGGCUCACAAGAGCAUGCCCUUUACAGAACAGAUGCAAGAUACUGGGUGUUGAUAUCCGGAAUUUUAUUAUUAUUAUUAUUGUUGUUGUUGUUGUUGUUGUUGUUAUGGUUUAAAAGGGUAGUAUUAGGUUUCAGAUAAUUCAUUAGGAUAGCCACUGACAAAGUGGGUUAAUGCUCUGUUUAAUGGGGGAGAGAAACUACCACUUAGAUUAA